GCAAGUCGAACGGGGAUCACAGGGUUAGCAAUAACUCCGUGGUUCUAGUGGCGCACGGGUGAGUAACACGUGGGUAACCUGCCCUUGAGACUGGGAUACCCCCUCGAAAGGGGGGCUAAUACCGGAUACGUUCCUCGGAUCGAAAGGUCUGAGGAGGAAAGGUGGCGAAAGCUGCCGCUCUUGGAGGGGCUCGCGGCCUAUCAGCUAGUUGGCGGGGUAACGGCCCACCAAGGCUAUGACGGGUAGCUGGUCUGAGAGGACGACCAGCCACACGGGGACUGAGACACGGCCCCGACUCCUACGGGAGGCAGCAGUGGGGAAUUUUCCGCAAUGGGCGAAAGCCUGACGGAGUGACGCCGCGUGUGGGACGAAGGCCUUCGGGUCGUAAACCACUGUCAGUGGGAAAGAUGGGUGUCGGCGUGAUAACCGCCGGCAUUUGACGGUACCUGCAGAGGAAGCCCCGGCUAACUCUGUGCCAGCAGCCGCGGUAAGACAGAGGGGGCAAGCGUUGCUCGGAAUUACUGGGCGUAAAGGGCGCGUAGGCGGGAUGGCAAGUCGGUCGUGAAAUCCCUCGGCUCAACUGAGGGUCGUCGAUCGAUACUGCCGUUCUUGAGGAUUGCAGAGGAGACUGGAAUUCCCGGUGUAGCGGUGAAAUGUGUAGAGAUCGGGAGGAACACCGGUGGCGAAGGCGGGUCUCUGGGCAAUUCCUGACGCUGAGGCGCGAAAGCGUGGGGAGCAAACGGGAUUAGAUACCCCGGUAGUCCACGCUGUAAACGAUGACAACUAGGUGUGGGGGGGGUUCAGUCCCCUUCGGUGCCGCAGCUAACGCAUUAAGUCUUCCGCCUGGGGGAGUACGGCCGCAA
rnacentral:rRNA from 1 species